rnacentral:misc_RNA from 1 species
CUACAUUAUAAUUGCCAUUUUAGGCGCAAAAACCGGGCCGCCGUGUUUCCAUUUACAGGUAUCCACCAUCGUGUGUUUCAAAUAUACCGUGUACUUUGUACAGAAAUAUUAGGUUGUCCGAAAAGUUUCUUUCGUUUCAUAAGGUGAUAAUAAAUGAGCAACAAUUUCUGUUUUAUAUUAUUUUAUUGAAUUAGAUAUGAUCCAUUUCGUUCUAUUUCUAUUAUUACAUUCGUGCACAAUUCAAUAAACUAAUAUA